rnacentral:rRNA from 1 species
CAAUAGCGUAUAUUAAAGUUGUUGCAGUUAAAAAGCUCGUAGUUGGACUUCUGGUGGGAGCGACCGGUCCCGCGCUCUGCGUGGGUACUUGAGUCGUCUCCGGCCAUCCUUGGGGAGAGCCAGUCUGGCAUUAAGUUGUCGGGCUGGGGAUGCCCAUCGUUUACUGUGAAAAAAUUAGAGUGUUCAAAGCAGGCUUAUGCCGCUGAAUAUAUUAGCAUGGAAUAAUAAGAUAGGACCUUGGUACUAUUUUGUUGGUUUGUGCACCGAGGUAAUGAUUAAUAGGGACAGUUGGGGGUAUUCGUAUUCCAUUGUCAGAGGUGAAAUUCUUGGAUUUCUGGAAGACGAACUACUGCGAAAGCAUUUACCAAGGAUGUUUUCAUUAAUCAAGAACGAAAGUUAGGGGAUCGAAGAUGAUUA